rnacentral:lncRNA from 15 species
UUUUGCCACUGGAACAGGUCAGACUCCAAGAAGUUUCUUAAACCUGCAAUCUGCGACUUGUUAGAUCUGCAUGAAACUACGCUCUGACAUGCCACAGUAACAUGAGCUCAUACUUUCACCUGUGACUGACACGCUUGUCCAGUGUAGAAGGGUGCAACUGUAGUGCUGUGUAAAACGGCACCAGGCUGCAUUAACAAACUAUGAGCAGCGGGAAUAUGUUACCCCCAAUUGGCAUUGUGCUCAGCCAGAGAGGAGAGCGCGUGGGCCUCAGUCUCUAGUUAACACGUCUGCUGUUGCCAUAGCUCACGGUUGUAGACACGCUUAAGUGACUUAAUGUAUUCAGCAGUCCUCCAACAUCAAGAUCCAGUAGAAACAAAACUACUUAAGAGGUGCAUUCCUCAGCAGCAGCUGCAUUAGAUGUAUCAGUCUCUUAAAGAAAGACAGCUGCUCAGUAUCUAGCAUCAGAACACACAUUCAAACAAAUGCAUAUGAGGAAUUUGUGCCCUUUGUGGCUUUGUUCGGCGAUGAGAGAGAAAGAUUUCAAGAUUCAAAUGUUUGGCUUGGCCUGACUCCUUUGGCUUAACCGAGUGAACAAGCCGGAGACGUACGCAGCAAAGGAAGACAGGGAAAUGUCAAGAGAGAUUAACGAAGCACAUUCCACAGAGGUUACCCUUCAAAAGCAAAACGGGAAGAGAGAGGAACAGAGAGAGAGCGAGAGAGAGCAAGAGAGAGAGAGAGAGAGACGGUAUGGAGGCAGCCAAGGGCGAUAAGGCUGCAGCAGCCCCUGCUGGUAAGUGCCUUCAUGACAUCUAAUCUGAGCCCACAAGCUGUGCUCCAGAAAUCCAAUUUAUUUUUGAGUUACGCAUACAGUAAUCAGCUAUUAUACAUUUAAACUGAAAAACAAAUAUUUUAAUAAAAGCGUCUCAUAAAGAUUGUUUAAUUUUCUAAUACAUUUUUUUCCUUUCUCUCUUUUUCAGACAAGAAGGGUAAGCAAAGCACAAUGCAUUCAGUGUUUUGUUUGUCUGUGUGCCCCGUAGACAUAACUGUCUAUAGAUCAUCCUCAUCAUCAUCCGCACCAUCAUCUUCAUCACUGUCAUCGUCAUCUUCAUCCACAAAAUAAUGUGUGUCUUUCCCCUCAUUCAGAGAAGCCAGCAGAGGAGGAGGGUAAGAGUUGCAGAUGAAACAAACACAGAAGCAAUGAACUUCUGUGGGGAUGGGACUGAGUGUGGAGAUGCAUGAUGCUAUAUUAUAUUAUAUACAUUCAUACAUACAUAAUAUUCUUUUAUUAGCACUGAGAACAUGUUAUGAGUUUAUUUUUAGCACCAGAGAUGCUAAUUAAAUUAUGUGUUAGGCGCAAAAUAGAAGGUGUUUGAUUUAUAGGUUACACGGUAUGUAUAAGUGUGUGUUUGUAUUUGACUUUCCUAUUUUAGCUUGGGUAUACUUGAAUCUGCAAAUGCAUACUGCACAUGCAAAUUAAUCUUUCACAUUUGUCCUUCAGCUACCAUUGUAAAAGUGUCUUGUUAGCACUGCUAGCAUUCCUCUUUUAAACCUUAUGGGUGCUGACUACAGCUGAAGGCUUUGGCCUAUGCAGUUACAGUUUUAAAAAGUUGCUCAUCGCGUUGAGACGACAUGGGAUAACCACCUAUUUAUAUCCACCUUUUAAGUUUGCCAUGAAGCUUUAAGAGCAAAAUUAAAGUUUGCUUCAAAUUUAAGAGUGAAAAACUGAUUUAAUUGAAAUUGAAAUCUGCUGUAAUCUAAUCGUGUUACAGAAAGAUCUGACUGCAACAUUGGUAAUAGUACAAAGACAACAUUAUCUUUCUUCUACAGUGGCUUUGCAGCCUUAUUUUGUGAUAUUUUUAAACAGUCACACAGUGAGAAUAACCACUCACUCCACAGACUUGGUAGACCACAAUGCAACACAGUGAAAAGACUUGUUUUUGGAGCAAAGGGCACAGGUCUUCAUUAGAACUGUGUUCAAGCAGGCUUCAUCAUUAGACAGCUGCUUACUGUGACAAGCUAUGAUGGCAAAAAAAAGAAAAAAAAAACACAAACAUGGAAGACAAAGUCGUCUCUUCAGACUAUUUGUUAUACAAUUUUGUUCUGUAACAACAUUUUUUAAAACUGGAGUGUGACACAGGUUCACACAACGCUGAUUAAGCCUAUCAACGAGCACCAGUAUUGAUGUGUUUUACAUCAACCAGCAAUGCCAGCGUUUUAAAUCAUUUUUAAUUUAGUUUCAUUGGCAAACGGUUGUAUGUGUUAUAGUUUACUUCCUUUGAUUUUUUGUUGAGAUAACGACUCAUUCAUUGUUAGUUAAACUGUGUUUGUAUGGAACAGUGACUGUGUGGUGGACUUCAAACUCUUGUGUUUUCUUGUGUAAUAACUCUCACUGCUAAAUCAAUGUCAAAGCCAUAUACACUGUGACGUCCCCUUCAUUUAAAAAUCUAUUUGGAAACACUUAAGGAUUCAUUUUAAAAUGAUUUCCUGGAAAGUUUCUUCGAAGAAACUAUGGAAUUUGGUGCUAAUUUGGUACAACUGAACACUGUAGUUUCAGUGUACAAUUAGUAUGCUCCCAAUUGAUUAAUUGAAAUUAAUUGAGUCAGCUUAACAUUCAAAAAUGUAAACUUUCUCCUCAGACAAGAAUAAAUUUCAGCAUAAUACAGUGUGAAGAAUAAGGUUUCCAGUAAUGAAUCACUAAUGAAUGAAUAGUCUAUUUAACGCUGCCAUAAUAGAUAUAUUUUUUAAUCUGUUAUCUAAUAACAAUGUGAAAACGAUGUGACAAUGCAGAAGGGGUUGCUCAUAGUGAUAAAUCUACAGAGAGUUAUCACCUGAAUCUACAGCUCCCCUCGGCUUUACAGAACUUUAUAGUGAGUUUCAGCUCAUUGUACGCUAUAAAAACACACUGUUCAUGACCUGCUCAGCAGCAAAAAGCAGACAGACAUGAAUAGAACCUAACUGGUGAACACAGUGGAACAUUUUGAAGCUAAAAAGCCAGAUAUUUCCCUCAAGAGUUGGUGGAAACAGAGCUAAAACAGAUUGAAUAUUGGACUUACAUUCAGGUGGUCAGAAACACAACUCCAAAUGAAGGAUAAUGUUGCUCUGUAACUGCUGGAUGUGUUAAUAAGCAACAGUUUGAUUCACAAUCCUAACUUUACAGUUGAUAUGUCAAUGGUGUGAUUAUAGCUUGUUUCUGCUGCUCACAAGAGGCCAAAAAAAGCAGUUAUUGCAGGCAAAAUUGACAGUUUAAACAAAAUCUCUAACUAAUGCUGUAUUCAGGCAGACUCCAUCAGAAUUCACCAUGAAACAGCUUUCUCUCAUUUCCCUAAAAGUAGUACCAAACUACAUAGUCUUUCCAAGAAACUCCCAGGAAACUAUGGCAUUAAGACAUUAAUGGAUAAAAUAAAAUUAUUUAUUUAAUUAUCAAUUAUUAUAAUCUUAAAAUAUUCUGAUGCAGUGAUACAGGGGACCAUACAGCAGCUCCACUGAACCUACACUCAGUGGGAUAUAGUAGAACUGAUAUGGAAAUACAGGCUAGUUUAUGUAAAAUUUACCAGUAAUUUGUUGUUCUCUCUCUUUUGUUUUGUG